rnacentral:rRNA from 1 species
AUUGAACGCUAGCGGCAUGCUUAACACAUGCAAGUCGAACGGUAACAGGCCUAGCUUGCUAGGCGCUGACGAGUGGCGGACGGGUGAGUAACGCGUAGGAAUCUACCUUGUAGAGGGGAAUAACGGGGGGAAACUCAGGCUAAUACCGCAUAAGCCCGAAGGGGGAAAGCAGGGGACUGUAACUGGCCUUGCAGUAUGAGAUGAGCCUCCGUCGGAUUAGCUAGUUGGGAGGGUAAAGGCCUACCAAGGCGAAGAUCCGUAGCUGGUCUGAGAAGACGACCAGCCACACUGGGACUGAGAAACGGCCCAGACUCCUACGGGAGGCAGCAGUGGGGAAUAUUGGACAAUGGGCGCAAGCCUGAUCCAGCAAUGCCGCGUGUGUGAAGAAGGCCUGCGGGUUGUAAAGCACUUUCAGUGGGGAGGAACGUUUUUAGCACUAAUACUGCUAAGAGGUGACGCUACCCAAAGAAGAAGCACCGGCUAACUCUGUGCCAGCAGCCGCGGUAA